UUUAAGGACAAUUAAAUUUUUCUACAACAACAGAAAAUAAAAUGGUUUGACAGUGAAUCCUCGACAAUACUAUCAUUGGUAUCAAUUCCUUGCUAUCCACAACUUAUAAUUAUAGCGUUACGUUAAAAUAUUUUAUAUUAUUUUUAACAAACACCAUUAUGUUACGAAUAAAAAAGAAAUUUCAUAAUGGAAUACAAGUUGACUCAACGGAUUCUAUAAUAAGUGUCAG